UACGAAGGGUGCAAGCGUUACUCGGAAUUACUGGGCGUAAAGCGUGCGUAGGGGGUUUGUUAAGUCUGUUGGGAAAGCCCCGGGCUCAACCUGGGAAUGGCAAUGGAUACUGGCAGGCUAGAGUGCGGUAGAGGGUAGUGGAAUUCCCGGUGUAGUGGUGAAAUGCGUAGAUAUCGGGAGGAACACCAGUGGCGAAGGCGACUUCCUGGCCUGUUCUUGACGCUGAGGCGCGAAAGCUAGGGUAGCAAACGGG
rnacentral:rRNA from 1 species